rnacentral:rRNA from 1 species
GGUGAACGCUGGCGGUAGGCCUAACACAUGCAAGUCGAACGGCAGCACAGUAAGAGCUUGCUCUUACGGGUGGCGAGUGGCGGACGGGUGAGGAAUACAUCGGAAUCUACUUUUUCGUGGGGGAUAACGUAGGGAAACUUACGCUAAUACCGCAUACGACCUACGGGUGAAAGCAGGGGAUCUUCGGACCUUGCGCGAUUGAAUGAGCCGAUGUCGGAUUAGCUAGUUGGCGGGGUAAAGGCCCACCAAGGCGACGAUCCGUAGCUGGUCUGAGAGGAUGAUCAGCCACACUGGAACUGAGACACGGUCCAGACUCCUACGGGAGGCAGCAGUGGGGAAUAUUGGACAAUGGGCGCAAGCCUGAUCCAGCAAUACCGCGUGGGUGAAGAAGGCCUUCGGGUUGUAAAGCCCUUUUGUUGGGAAAGAAAAGCAGCAGGUUAAUACCCCGCUGUUCUGACGGUACCCAAAGAAUAAGCACCGGCUAACUUCGUG